rnacentral:rRNA from 1 species
CAGCCGCCGCGGUAAUACCGGCGGCCCGAGUGGCGGUCACUAUUAUUGGGCUUAAAGCGUCCGUAGCCGGGUUGGGAAGUCCUCCGGGAAAUCUGGCCGCUUAACGGUCAGAAUGCCGGAGGAUACUCCCAGCCUAGGGAGCGGGAGAGGCCGAGGGUCUUCCCGGGGUAGGGGUGAAAUCCUAUAAUCCCGGGAGGACCACCUGUGGCGAAGGCGCUCGGCUGGAACGCGUCCGACGGUGAGGGACGAAGGCCAGGGGAGCAAACCGGAUUAGAUACCCGGGUAGUCCUGGCUGUAAACGAUGCGGACUUUGUGUCGGACAAGCUAUGAGCUUGUCCGGUGCCGGAGGGAAACCGUUAAGUCCGCCGCCUGGGGAGUACGGCCGCAAGGCUGAAACUUAAAGGAAUUGGCGGG